GACAAAGAAAUCGGAUACAAGAGCCUAGAAGAUCUAGUCUCGUGGUAAAAGUACAUUAAUGUCAAGAAGACGAGUACAGAACGUCAAAAGACUUUUAAAUUUCAAUCACAUUCAGACUAUACAUGAUUCAUCGAACAUUAGACGUGAUCAACAUGAGAUAUAGGUGUAGUGGUUCUAGUUUCGUGGGUAAAAUACAUUAAUGUCAAGACAAACUAGUGCUGAAUGACAUGGAUAGAAGACCAAAAUGUCAAAAGGUUUUAUAAAGUAAGGAACGAUCGAGAUCACAUGAAUACUAUGUAUCAACAAACAUUAGACAUGAUCGACUUCAGGAUAUACUGGUGUAAAACGAUGGGGAAAACUACAAAAACCGCUUUAGAACAACUAAACAUCUCCCUUUCCGUUCCGGGGACUUCAGGGUUAGGGAUACUUGUUACGACCUCUUCGCAUCUGUUUCGUUUUAACCCCCGCUCGCCACAAACGACACAACGUAGGUGGUAACAAGGAAGGUCCACUUACCUCGAACACAACAACCAUCUUGAGGCAACUACCGAAGAAGGAUACAACUUCUCGUACAAGGCACCAUAGGUUCUCAUGGAUCGUAAUGUGACCGUCUCGCAAAAUAAACAGCUAGCGUUAUAAACACUAACACACCUUAUAACAUACCAAUAGAUGCACUUCAAACUUCAAGGACCCGUACGUUAUAAACUGCCAAUUUGACCAACAACACUACACUUGCUCACAUACCUCAAAGUGUACAAGACAAGACAUGUCUUAUAUAACAUUAUUUGGAUAAAACUAACAAUAAACUUCUAAAAGUAUACGAAGAG
rnacentral:rRNA from 1 species